rnacentral:rRNA from 1 species
AUACCAGCACCCCGAGUGGUCGGGACGAUUAUUGGGCCUAAAGCAUCCGUAGCCGGUUCGACAAGUCUUCCGUUAAAUCCACCUGCUUAACAGAUGGGCUGCGGAGGAUACUAUGGAGCUAGGAGGCGGGAGAGGCAAGCGGUACUUAGUGGGUAGGGGUAAAAUCCGUUGAUCCAUUGAAGACCACCAGUGGCGAAGGCGGCUUGCCAGAACGCACUCGACGGUGAGGGAUGAAAGCUGGGGGAGCAAACCGGAUUAGAUACCCGGGUAGUCCCAGCUGUAAACGAUGCAGACUCGGUGAUGAAUAGGCUUCGUGCCUAUUCAGUGCCGCAGGGAAGCCGUUAAGUCUGCCGCCUGGGGAGUACGGUCGCAAGACUGAAACUUAAAUGAAUCGGCGGGG